CGCUACAGCAACCGCCACAGCAAUCGCUACAGCAAUCGUGACAGCAACCGCCAUAGCAACCGCCGUAUGCCCAACCGGCAGGACAUACACCGUAUCAGCCGCACGUAUCGCAGCUGAAUUAGCUGUACGAGCCUGAGGAGCAGAACUCAUACAGGGCAAAACAGUUACUAAUUCGCCAGUACAGGCGAAAAAUGAAUCGGCUGCGGCGUGAAACAGCGCCAUGGUCCAGCCGCGGUCGCAGGAUGGCAAUGUAGACGAUCGUGGUCGCGGCUGUAAUGGCCGAAACAUAUCAUUUUAUUUCUAAUUUUAUUUUUCUUAUUAUUAUUAUUUUUCUUCUUCUUCUUCUUCUUCUUCUUCUUAUUAUUAUUAUUAUUAUUAUUAUUUUUUUUUUAUUUUUUUUUUUAGAGGUGGAAAUGCAUUACGCAGACCCCCGCAACGUAUUGCGGAGGGACUGUGGGACUCUCCCUCCUGCAAUUAUGCUGAAGGGCCUACCCACUAAAACCACCUCUGACCCCACAUAUGGGCCCAGACCGGAAUCCGCUCAUCGCAUUACUUCGGUCUGGGUCCGUGGCGUGCUGGCCUGCGCAGACAGUAGGCCUCCUCUAUUCUACAGGACCUGGACGGGGGUCCUGUAGACAUCCAUCGACCCUCUUCGCCACCAGGACAGAGGUCGCGAACGCCGCGACCGCGUCCCACAGUUCUACGCUCCGCAGCAUCACCCCCACGAUGUUUCGGGGGCGAUGUCGUGGUCAGCUGCGUUGGCCACUGCGGAGCGUUCCUCGCUAAAGCGAGCACAAACGAAGAACGUGUGGAACGCGUCGUCUCGCUCGGCGUCGCAGUAAUAGCACGUCGGGGACCUGACUUUGGCCAUCCGGUACAGGUAGUUCCGGAAGUAGCCGUGUCCUGACAGGAGCUGGCUGAGGUAGAAGUCUACCUCGCCGUGAGCGCGCUCCUGCCAGGGCCUCAGGUCCCCGAUUAGCCGGGCUGUCCACCGGCCCGUGCUGCCCGCGGUCCAGCGACGCUGCCACUCCGAGUGGGUUUCAGCGCGCGCUAUACCCGCGGCCUCUGUCCUGUCCAUCUCCGAGCUCAGCUCGAAGAUCCUCCUCCUCUCCUUGGCGAGAAGAUCGAUGGGGAGGAUCCCAGCGAUCGCGAGCACUGCAAGUGCGGAUACUGUACGAUAACAGCUAACGACUCGCAGCGCUCCGCGACGCUGAACGGAGGCCAUGCGUGUCCUGUAUUUCUUGAUGUCCAAGGCCCCGGCCCAUAUCUCAGCUCCGUACAGGAGCAUGGACUGGACCGUGGACAUCAAGAGCCUACGUUUCCCAGGCCUCGG